rnacentral:misc_RNA from 1 species
UUGGCUACGCGAGCGCAUGAGUUGUGUUGGACCUGUGACUGUCGGUAGGACCCCCGCCGUUGUGCGGCCGACUACCGACGCCUGUGUCCCUUCAAUCUUUGGGUACCGUGCCCAACCCUUUGACGAGUGCUUGCAUGCUGCUACCAGUUGCACUGGCAGUUGAUUUUCGUAAAUGUUGCCUUCGUCGUGUGCGCCUUAGGGUGAAUCACGUCGACACGAAAGCUUCCACGGCGUUGCAUCGUGCUGUCGGCUUGAUAUGCCAGCAUCAUCAUUGCCACCUCGUGUAUGCUCUUGGUCCCGGAUGUGGCAAACGCUAAAGGCCGUAGGUGCAUUKGCGCCCCGUGCCUAUCAAAGAUUGUCCGAUCGGAAACAACGACAGUUGGCCCGGAUGAAGCCUCGUGCAGAAGUCGGUGCCUGCUUGUCGACGAGGACGUGCUACCUGGUUGAUCCUGCCAGUAGUCAUAUGCUUGUCU